rnacentral:rRNA from 1 species
CCUACGGGAGGCAGCAGUGAGGAAUAUUGGUCAAUGGGCGCGAGCCUGAACCAGCCAAGUAGCGUGAAGGAUGACUGCCCUACGGGUUGUAAACUUCUUUUAUAAAGGAAUAAAGUGAGGCACGUGUGUCUUUGUGUAUGUACUUUAUGAAUAAGGAUCGGCUAACUCCGUGCCAGCAGCCGCGGUAAUACGGAGGAUCCGAGCGUUAUCCGGAUUUAUUGGGUUUAAAGGGAGCGUAGGUGGUCUGUUAAGUCAGUUGUGAAAGUUCGCGGCUCAACCGUAAAAUUGCAAUUGAUACUGGCAGCCUAGAGUACAGUUGAGGUAGGCGGAAUUCGUGGUGUAGCGGUGAAAUGCUUAGAGAUCACAAAGAACUCCGAUUGCGAAGGCAGCCUACUAAGCUACUGCUGACAUUGAUGCUCGAAAGUGUGGGUAUCAAACAGGAUUAGAUACCCUAGUAGUC